AGUUCAUAUCGACGGCGGUGUUUGGCACCUCGAUGUCGGCUCAUCACAUCCUGGGGCUGAAGUAGGUCCCAAGGGUAUGGCUGUUCGCCAUUUAAAGUGGUACGCGAGCUGGGUUUAGAACGUCGUGAGACAGUUCGGUCCCUAUCUGCCGUGGGCGUAGGAGAAUUGGUUGGGGCUGCUCCUAGUACGAGAGGACCGGAGUGGACGCACCACUGGUGUUC
rnacentral:rRNA from 1 species